CAGAGGAGGUCACCAAGGAAAUGAGGAGGGAUGGAAAGAAGGUCUUAGGAUUGAGUCCUGAGGAGGACCACGGAAUCUACCAAGGGUUUUUCUAAAGAUGUAGAAGUCCUCACCUCUCUAUAGCUGCUCAGAUUUCUGGAGGCUCUGGCUGUAGCAUAUGACUUGUUUCUGGACCAAGAGGGCUGACUCCAGAGAAGGUGUAAGAGCCGUGAGUUGCACACCAGUGAUUCCCUCCACUAUGCAGUGCUGCCUCCUAUGAAGAUGAUCUGGAGGCUACCAGAAGGUUGGAGAAGUCGGCUAGAACAAAGCCUCUGUUGAUUAUUCUGUAUGCAGCUUUCCAUCUAGUUCCCCAGCAAAAUGUGGAAACUGUGGCAGCCUAUGUCUUUGCUGGAAAUGGGUACAAGAUAUGAUUCAAUGUGAACUGGUCUUCUCCAAACUUCCCCCACAAAGCUGAGGCCAGAGAGAUGGGGAAACCAAGAGCUCUGCUGUAGCCAGAUGGCCUAGGAUGGGCCUCAGGGCAGAGCGUCUGCUUGGAGGGCACCAAGAGCAAGGCAGAGCAGAUCCAGAAGGAAAGUCCUGACAACUGAUCAGAAGCACUUUGGUGGACCAGAAUGAGGGACACAGAAUCAGCAAACAACAGAUAAAAUUCAGCCAGAUGACCGUAGCAAAGUAGCCAUGAUCGGGGAUGACAAUAAAACGAGACAGAGAAUGCCACAGUGGAGAAAUGAAGCUCCCUCCCCAGGAUUCCGCCAAGAAUGAAGUGCUGGUUCAGGCAGGUUCCUAGCAUUAGUGAUGUCUGACAGCUGGAAACAGGGAGUUAGUUUGGGAUCUCAGUUACAGAGAGCAGGGGCAAGGUAGGGCCCCAGUUCAGGGGAACAGGGGGGGAUCAUUAUUCUACUUAGAUAAGUAGAAUGUUGGAGGUGAGCCCUGUUUUCCUCAUCUGGCUUGCUGCAGGUGCUUCUAGAGUAGUGCUCCACAAGUUCUCUAGCUGAGUAUAGGCAGAUGGGUUGGAUUUGAGGGUGUGGGUGGCAAAAGUAAUAAAAAGACCAUUUACUGCAUAUUAAAACCCACAGUCUCCAAACCUGCUUUUCAGCGAUGAAGGUAAUAUUUGGGUAUUUAUUGCUUCCAUUUCAGCAUCUACUCAAGUGGUUCUAAAAUUGAAGUUGGAAAAAAAUAAAUAAAAUUGA